rnacentral:rRNA from 1 species
UAAGGGCACCACAAGAACGCGUGGAGCAUGUGGCUUAAUUUGACUCAACGCGGGAAAUCUUACCGGGUCCGGACACACUGAGGAUUGACAGGCGCAUGUAGUUUUUCUUUUUUUCUUUCGGGAGGAAAAGUGAAACUACUAUAAAUAUGCUAGUCCUUUCAUGAUUGUGUGAUAGGUGGUGCAUGGCCGUUCUUAGUUCGUGGAGUGAUCUGUCUGCUUAAUUGCGUUUCAGAAUAUAGGUUCUUAGAGGUUUUGUUGUUAUAGUGUGACCGUAGUUUCUUCGGAAAUUAUGUUGUCCCUGUAACUCAGCCCAUGAACCUUGAAGGUAACGAACGUGACCGCAACCUCUUGUUGCCUUUCUUUCAUCCCUUUGGAUGAACUACUGCCUCGUGAUUUUUUCUGUUAUUAAAACAACAGAAGUCAUGGGGAUUAGUAGAGCGGAGCGCAAACUAGAGGGACCGCCGACCUUUUUAAAACGGAGGAAGGUUGCGGCAAUAACAGGUCUGUGAUGCCCUUAGAUAUUCCGGGCUGCACACGUGCUACAAUGAUUGUUCCAGUAAGUAUCUAUUGGUAUUGAUUGUUGCUCUUCGGAGCAAUGAUCCACAAUCGUGCAUAUCCAAUCUAAUUGGUGUUGCGCAUUGUGAAACCUACCUCGAAAGUGCGGUAGGCAAUCAAUUCCAAGUGACAAUCUCCCGCGCACAAAUUAAGUGAUUAACGCGUGGCAAUUCGUUGCUGCGUGUUACAUCACGUGCUCUAUUCAAUUCGUGGUCGGGACAGACCAUUGCUAAUUGUUGGUCUCGGUCUCAACUAGGAAUGCCUUGUACGGGUCUUUGGUUCAACAGACCACCCGGAAUACGUCCCUGCCCUUUGUACACACCGCCCGUCA